ACAUUCCUUGUAGUUCGUCCAGUGUUAACACUUAACAGUCAUACAGGAACAAUUCAUCUUAGAACUUGUCGAUUGGGGAUAAGAAUGGAUUGUGGAUCUGAAGAUUGGGAUACAUCAUCAAGUUCUUUAUUACAAGGCAACUAAUUUUAUGAAGGGAUCUCUAGGUUUGAUACUUUUGUUAUUGCUGCUGCUUCUGUCACUGAUGAUGAUAUUUAUCUGUAACUGGGUUGAUAUAUAUAAUCUGUAACUGUGCUUGGCCUAGUAUCCUGAUUUUUUUUAACUUGUUGGGUUCAA